GGCGCCCGGCUGAGCUGCGCGCGCCGCGUCAGCCCUGCCUCGGUUUCCCACCGCAGCGCCGAGGGAGCUCCUGGCAUCGUGAGCAUCUGCAAGUCUGGAGGAGUGAGAGGUCUCUUCUGGAAAUUAAGAUGUGGAGUUGAAAUGACUGGACAACUUCCUCAAGGACCAAAGAUUGAAUCAAGGUCUCACUGAUACCAAGCCAGAGCUACUUCUAGGACUCCAGAUGUCCUCCCUGUGACCACAAAAGAAGCACAGAAGCUACUUUGGCCUGAGUAAAGAGCCUCCUGUGUCCUCACACUUCCUCAUCAAGAAGACUUGGGGGAGCUCACUCGGCUUCCCAGGUGUAUGGAUUUAAGGGCAGGACUGUCACUACGAAAUGGUUUCAGGCCUCUCGAUCAACAGGACAAAAGAUGGCUACCCCAUUGCUGCCAAAUUACAUCUCUUCAAUUCAAGUGACCAACCAGCAAACGCAGCAGAAUACAGCCAUCCAAAUGAAGGUUGUUGUCUUCCAAGUAAUUCCAAGACGCUCAAACAUGUAAAAAUCCUUUUAGGGAAUUACUGGCCAAGUCUUGCUCUCACUGUUUUGCUUUCUGUUGAUCAUUCAUUCAGCAUGUAUUAGACACCUCCCGGGUGCCAAACCCUCUGCCAGGUCCAGGAUAUAGAGUGAGGAGAGAGAUGCAAUCUCAUUGCAUGUUUGAUGAAGGAGGCCCCCUGGGGCCGGUGGAAAAAGUUAGCCCAACCUAGGUUUGAAUCCCAGUUUAGCCUGUGCGGGUUGUGUAACCUCAGGCAACUUUCCUAAACUCUUUGAGUCACAAUGUCCUCAUGUCUAAAAUGAAGAUGGUAAAACUGACUUCAUAGGAUUGCUUUGAGGAGAAAAGCAGAUAAAAUGUGUAGUAACUAGCCAUUGCAGAGACCGAUACAGAGUCGUUGCUCAGCCGAUGAGUGUUCCUGUGAUUAUAAUUGUUUGAUUUACAUAGCUAGUUCAACCGUCUCUUUGGGGGGAUUAGACUCUGAAUGCACUUUUGGAAAAAAAAUCAAACGUUUUAUUAUGUGUAUGUGGGUAAUACAAGGUACAAAAUUCAAAGUGUACAAACAUUAGGCGAUGGAAAUGAAAACUUCUUUCUUCCCUUGCUCCUCUGCUGCUCAUUUUUCUCCCCGGAGAUAACUGGUAUGACCAGGAUCUUGUAUAUUUACAGAUUUAAUUAUAUUUCUUGGAGAUAGGUUCAUAACAAUACAUUGGUUCCUGCUGCAUCA